AAACAUAAGGAAAAAAAAAAAAACACAUAAAGAUGGGCGCUGGCGGGUGCGGAGUAGAGAGGAGAGAGAGAGAGAGAGGCCUUUCGGCUUGAGUUCCUGAGCAAUGAGACGCUAUACGCCGGGGAGUCUCCGCAAGGAAGAAGUGGCCGUCAGUGUGCAGAUCGCCACGAUUGGGCUGCUUAGUCUUUCCUCUCCUAGGUAUCUUUUUGCCCUUUUGAUUGCGGUGGUUUGAUGCUUGGACCGUACUUAAGAUGAGAGAGGGUUUGGAGAUUGGUCUCUUGGUUUUCUUCUAGCUUGGAGAGCUGAUCUGAGAAAGGGAAGAAGAUUUUAGAUUAGAAGUUUAGGAUCAGAUAUGAGUUUAUAGGACAGUCAUGGCUAGCUAGUUUACUAUUCAAUCUUGUUCUGUAGCUUUUGUGUGUAGCUAUAUAAUAUAAUGUAGAUACAUUUUGAUGAAAUAAAAGAAAUCUUGUUGAUAAA